GCAAUAACGCAGCUAUAAUGCAAGUCGAGCGGAUCUUUGAAGACUUUGCUUCCUAAAGAUUAGCGGCGGACGGGUGAGUAACACGUGGGCAACCUGCCUGUAAGACUGGGAUAACUCCGGGAAACCGGGGCUAAUACCGGAUAAUUCAUUUCCUCUCAUGAGGGAAUGCUGAAAGACGGUUUCGGCUGUCACUUACAGAUGGGCCCGCGGCGCAUUAGCUAGUUGGUGAGGUAACGGCUCACCAAGGCAACGAUGCGUAGCCGACCUGAGAGGGUGAUCGGCCACACUGGGACUGAGACACGGCCCAGACUCCUACGGGAGGCAGCAGUAGGGAAUCUUCCGCAAUGGACGAAAGUCUGACGGAGCAACGCCGCGUGAGCGAUGAAGGCCUUCGGGUCGUAAAGCUCUGUUGUUAGGGAAGAACAAGUAUCGGAGUAACUGCCGGUACCUUGACGGUACCUAACCAGAAAGCCACGGCUAACUACGUGCCAGCAGCCGCGGUAAUACGUAGGUGGCAAGCGUUGUCCGGAAUUAUUGGGCGUAAAGCGCGCGCAGGUGGUUCCUUAAGUCUGAUGUGAAAGCCCACGGCUCAACCGUGGAGGGUCAUUGGAAACUGGGGAACUUGAGUGCAGAAGAGGAAAGUGGAAUUCCACGUGUAGCGGUGAAAUGCGUAGAGAUGUGGAGGAACACCAGUGGCGAAGGCGACUUUCUGGUCUGUAACUGACACUGAGGCGCGAAAGCGUGGGGAGCGAACAGGAUUAGAUACCCUGGUAGUCCACGCCGUAAACGAUGAGUGCUAAGUGUUAGAGGGUUUCCGCCCUUUAGUGCUGCAGCAAACGCAUUAAGCACUCCGCCUGGGGAGUACGGCCGCAAGGCUGAAACUCAAAGGAAUUGACGGGGGCCCGCACAAGCGGUGGAGCAUGUGGUUUAAUUCGAAGCAACGCGAGAACCUUACCAGGUCUUGACAUCCUCUGACAACUCUAGAGACAGAGCGUUCCCCUUCGGGGGACAGAGUGACAGUGGUGCAUGGUGUCGUCAGCUCGUGUCGUGAGAUGUUGGGUAGUCCCGCACGAGCGCAACCCUUGAUCUUAGUUGCCAGCAUUCAGUUGGGCACUUCUAAGGUGACCUGGCGGUGACAUCG
rnacentral:rRNA from 2 species